rnacentral:lncRNA from 1 species
UGUUCGUCGUAAAUACUUUUUUUUACGAUUAAAAUUUUUUAUCUUUAAUUUUUUAUCAAUGAAAAAUAUUCAUCACAAAUAUCUUUUAUUAGCAAUGAAAUUUUUUUUUCAUCGUAAAAUAUUAUCAACGAUGCGAUUAUUUACGACGAAUAAUUAGUGAUGAAUAUUUCAUCGCUAAUAAUUAUUAACGAUGAAAGUAGAUCAUUAGUGAUGAAAAGUUUUCGUCGCUAAUAAUCUGUUUUGUUAUAGUGAUAGAUUCUAGAUGAAAGAAAUCACCAAAUACCGC